GGCGCAAGCCUGAUCUAGCCAUGCCGCGUGUGUGAUGAAGGCCUUAAGGUCGUAAAGCACUUUCGCCAGAGAUGAUAAUGACAGUAUCUGGUAAAGAAACCCCGGCUAACUCCGUGCCAGCAGCCGCGGUAAUACGGAGGGGGUUAGCGUUGUUCGGAAUUACUGGGCGUAAAGCGCACGUAGGCGGACUGGAAAGUUGGGGGUGAAAUCCCAGGGCUCAACCCUGGAACUGCCUCCAAAACUAUCAGUCUAGAGUUCGAGAGAGGUGAGUGGAAUUCCGAGUGUAGAGGUGAAAUUCGUAGAUAUUCGGAGGAACACCAGUGGCGAAGGCGGCUCACUGGCUCGAUACUGACGCUGAGGUGCGAAAGUGUGGGAGCAAACAGGAUUAGAUACCCUGGUAGUCCACACCGUAAACGAUGAAUGCCAGUCGUCGGGUUGCAUGCAAUUCGGUGACACACCUAACGGAUUAAGCAUUCCGC
rnacentral:rRNA from 1 species